rnacentral:rRNA from 1 species
GAUGAACGCUGGCGGCGUGCCUAAUACAUGCAAGUCGAGCGAACAGACGAGGAGCUUGCUCCUCUGACGUUAGCGGCGGACGGGUGAGUAACACGUGGAUAACCUACCUAUAAGACUGGGAUAACUUCGGGAAACCGGAGCUAAUACCGGAUAAUAUAUUGAACCGCAUGGUUCAAUAGUGAAAGACGGUUUUGCUGUCACUUAUAGAUGGAUCCGCGCCGCAUUAGCUAGUUGGUAAGGUAACGGCUUACCAAGGCAACGAUGCGUAGCCGACCUGAGAGGGUGAUCGGCCACACUGGAACUGAGAUACGGUCCAGACUCCUACGGGAGGCAGCAGUAGGGAAUCUUCCGCAAUGGGCGAAAGCCUGACGGAGCAACGCCGCGUGAGUGAUGAAGGUCUUCGGAUCGUAAAACUCUGUUAUUAGGGAAGAACAAAUGUGUAAGUAACUAUGCACGUCUUGACGGUACCUAAUCAGAAAGCCACGGCUAACUACGUG